UCCAGACUCCUACGGGAGGCAGCAGUGGGGAAUAUUGCACAAUGGGGGAAACCCUGAUGCAGCGACGCCGCGUGAGUGAAGAAGUAUUUCGGUAUGUAAAGCUCUCUCAGCAGGGAAGAAAUAGCGACCUUUGGGUCGCCAGACGGUACCUGAUUAAGAAGCCCCGGCUAACUACGUGCCAGCAGCCGCGGUAAUACGUAGGGGGCAAGCGUUAUCCGGAUUUACUGGGUGUAAAGGGAGCGUAGACGGCAGCGCAAGUCUGAAGUGAAAUGCCGGGGCUUAACCCCGGAACUGCUUUGGAAACUGUGCAGCUGGAGUGCAGGAGAGGUAAGUGGAAUUCCUAGUGUAGCGGUGAAAUGCGUAGAUAUUAGGAGGAACACCAGUGGCGAAGGCGGCUUACUGGACUGUAACUGACGUUGAGGCUCGAAAGCGUGGGGAGCAAACAGGAUUAGAUACCCGUGUAAA
rnacentral:rRNA from 1 species